rnacentral:rRNA from 1 species
AAGCCUGCCAGUCGAGAGGGUUCGGCCCUCGGCAGACUGCUCAGUAACACGUGGAUAACCUAACCUUAGGUGGAGGAUAAUCUCGGGAAACUGAGAAUAAUACUCCAUAGAUCUAGGCUGCUGGAAUGCAUCUAGAUCAAAAGCUCCGGCGCCUAAGGAUGGGUCUGCGGACUAUCAGGUUGUAGUCAGGGUAAAGACCUGACUAGCCUACGACGGAUAUGGGUUGUGAGAGCAAUAGCCCAGAGACGAUAUCUGAGACACGAUAUCGGGCCCUACGGGGCGCAGCAGGCGCGAAAUCUUCACAAUGUGCGAAAGCACGAUGAGGGAAUCCCAAGUGCUAGCACGUAAGUGUUAGCUGUUUCUUAGUCUAAAAAACUCAGAGAGUAAGGGCUGGGUAAGACGGGUGCCAGCCGCCGGGUAAUACCUGCAGCUCAAGUGGUGGCCGCUAUUAUCUGGGCCUAAAACGUCCGUAGCCUGUUUAGUAAAUGCUUGGGUAAAUUGUGUAGCUUAACUAUACGAAUCCGGGUAGACUGUAAACUUGGGACCGGGAGAGGCUAGAGGUCUCUAGGGUAGAGGUGAAAUUUGUAACCGUAGGGGGACCACCAGUGGCAGAAGGCGCUAGCGUAGAACUGGGACUGACGGGUGAGGGACGGAAGCCCUGGGGCGCUGAACCGGAAUUAGAUACCCGGGUAGUCCAGGGUGUAAACGCUGCUUGCUUGAUGUUUAGUUGGGCGUCCGAGCCCAACGUAGUGUCGGAGAGAAGUUGUUAAGCAAGCUGCCUGGGAAGUACGGUCGCAAGACUGAAACUUAAAGGAAUUGGCGGGGGAGCACAGCAACGGGUGGAGCGUGCGGUUUAAUUGGAUUAACGCCGGAAAUCUACCGGAGGCGACGGUUAUGAAGGCCAGGUUGAUGACCUUCCUGAUUUCCGAGAAGUGGUGCAUGGCGCGUCAGUUCGUACCGUGAGGCGUUCUGUUAAGUCAACAACGAACGAGACCCUCAUCUUUAGUUGCUC